rnacentral:lncRNA from 1 species
CAAUUCCCAAUGUCCUCUGAAACCUUGAAUACUCCUUUCUGCCUUACACACUUCUUCUCACACAGGUCUGCAGUAUUCCCUCCAAAAUGGCCCAGCAAGCUUUGAUUACAGCUUCAAAGUGUUGCUCUGCUAGCUGCCCCCCCUCCCCAUUCUUCCAGUCCCUCCAUAAACCAGACCUCAAGGCCUGUGGACCAGAUGUUCAGGUUUCUCACAGGGAGUGGCCCACUCCCAGGACUAAUUAUCCAUAUUAGUGCAAGUUUUCACUGCUUUGAGACAAUAUCGACACCAAGCGAUUUACGGGAGGAAAAGACUUUUGUUUUGUUUCCACAGAUUGAGGAGAAUGAAGUUCAUCAUGUCAGGGAAGCCGUGGCAAUGGGCGGCUCUGCUGGGCUUGCGUGUCUGUCAGAGAGGAGGGAGAUUUGGGCUGAGACCAGCGAUAGAUUGGUCGAGCGCGGGAAGAAAAGGAAGAGGAGCGAAUUAAAUAGGAGCGCCG